rnacentral:rRNA from 1 species
GGGGAAUAUUGGACAAUGGGCGAAAGCCUGAUCCAGCCAUGCCGCGUGUGUGAAGAAGGCCUUCGGGUUGUAAAGCACUUUAAGCGGGGAGGAAGGGCUUCUGGCUAAUAUCCAGGAGCAUUGACGUUACCCGCAGAAUAAGCACCGGCUAACUCUGUGCCAGCAGCCGCGGUAAUACAGAGGGUGCAAGCGUUAAUCGGAAUUACUGGGCGUAAAGCGCGCGUAGGCGGUUUGUUAAGUCGGAUGUGAAAUCCCCGGGCUCAACCUGGGCACUGCAUCCGAUACUGGCUGACUAGAGUGUGGGAGAGGAAGGUAGAAUUCCAGGUGUAGCGGUGAAAUGCGUAGAGAUCUGGAGGAAUACCGAUGGCGAAGGCAGCCUUCUGGCCUGACACUGACGCUGAGGUGCGGAAGCAUGGGGAGCAAAC